rnacentral:tRNA from 1 species
GUCGCGGUUGUAGUGGUUCUCGGCCACGUGGCCGGCAUAGCCGCCACCCACCGCGCCAGCCACGGUGGCCAGCGUGCGGCCGUUGCCGCGGCC